UAAUUUACCUAGUAGGGAAUACACAAUGGUCAAGAAAAUGAUCUUUCCAGGAUGAAUCUCCACCGCUUAGGUGUGCUGAUGUCUGUGUUUCCCCACAGGUGAGAAACUCAACUGCAUACUUUAUGAUAAUACUGGGCUUUUUCGGCAAUUCCCCUUA
rnacentral:snRNA from 1 species